ACGUUGAAACAUCGGUUCUCGUACGAUCACCGAAGUUAAGCAACGUCGAUCCUGGUCAGUAUUUAAAUGGGUGACCGCCUGAAAAUACUAGGUGCUGUAAU